rnacentral:lncRNA from 1 species
AGGAUGGCAAUCCCAGGUCUGGAUUAAUGCCUGUGUCUGCUGAAAAACAGUGGGACAGACAGUGCUGGUCCAUGGCUGCCUUCAAAAUGCUACUAAAUUUCUGUCUGCCAUAAAGUGGAGAGAAAAAGAGUGCAAAACUAAAACGGGAAGGUAAUAGUUACAUUUGCCAACUUAAAAUACAUUAGUCUUAGUCUUGACAUCAUCAAAAUGAGGUGAGAGAGGAUAAGGCUCAGAU